AAAAUAUAUAUAUAUAUAUAUAUAUAUUCGGAUAUCUCCCAUGUCACCCUCCGAUGACCCCACAUCCCAUUCCAGCUCCUUCCAGUUACUGGCCCAAUUUUUUUUUUUUCUUCAAGAGUUAUAGUGGCUACCUUCACCUGCACUCCCUUGCCUUUUCUUUGGUUUACCAGCUGGGCUUCUGACCUCAUCAUUCCACUAAAAUUGCUCUUACAAUGUCACGAGUCACCUAGAGCUUGUGAGAUAUAGUGGUCCCUUCUUUGUACUUUUCUUACUCAACUUCUCAGUAGCUUUUGUCAUAGUUUGGCAAGAGAAUGUUUCUUCUAUCUUGAAACACUCUCUUUUGGCUUUUGGAGAACCACAGCUGCCUGUUUUUCCUUCAACUUUCUAGUAGUCUCUACCCAGUCUCCUUUGCUUCUACCUCUUCUUCUCAAUUCUGAUUUUUAUGUCCCCUGAAAACUUGGUCUCCUACAUUUCUCUUCUGGACACCCUUCCAGUUGAACUCAUCCAGUCUUACAGUGUUAACUACCACCUAAUUGAUGGUACCUCUCAAUUGUUAAUCUAUUACUUUAAACUCUUCAAAGAGCUCCACACUUGUCUAUCCAACUGCCAUUGUGACUUUUCUAGUUGGCUGUUAACUACAUGUCUCAAACUCAACAUGGCUAAAGUAGAACCCUUGAUUCCGCUCCCUGCAAUCUGUUUCUUUCCCAGUCUUCUAUAGCUCUAAGUGGUGAUGACUGUUGCUGCGGCCAAAACCUAGGAGUCGUCUUCGAUUUCUCUUUUUCCAUUAUCCCUCACCCAAAUUAUUCAACCCAUUGCAAAUACACCACUUCGUUUGCUCCAUUACUGAGCCCAAGCGCGAGGUGCCAUUAUAUCUCAUCUGGACUACUGCAGUGCCUCCAAACUCUUCCCUCUGUUUCUGUUCCUGCUUGUUCUUUCCACCAGACAUCCAAAGACAUCUUUUAAAACCCUAUCAAAUCAUGCCAUUCCCCUGCUCAAAACCUCUCUAGUGGCUUCCCCAGUACUUAGACUAAAGUUCUGUAUCUUUGCUGGGGCUAUCAUGUAGACUUCAUCUCCCACACCCUUCCCAUUGCUCUCUGGACUCCAGCCACCCUGGUGUUUAUAUUGCUCAAACAUGACAGCCUCAUUCUUCACAUGGGAUCUUUGCAUCCGCUGUUGCCUCUGCCUGGAAGCAUGGCUGCUUCCUUAGGUCACUAUGGACUCAGCUCAAACCUCACCCUCUGGCCACCCACUCAAAAGUAGCCCCACACUAAGCAAUAUCAUUUCAUCCAGUUUUAAUGCCUUCAUAUUACUCAUCAUUAUCUGAAAUUACCUUGUUCAGAUAUUAUCACUAUCCAAAUUAUCUUGUUCAGAAUCAUAUGCUUCCAUGUUAACCACCUACUUACCUGCCUACGCUCUAACAGAGCAAAGCUCUUGACUGUCUUCUUCACUGCUAGUCCCUGGCACCUGGAACAGUGCCUGGCACAUAGUAGAUACUUCAUGAAUGAAUGAAUGAAUGUUACAUUUUUGUGUUAAUUCUUGAGGAUGUACUCUUCCUUUCUAUUGUUUUAACCCGAUAUCAUCUAGAAGCUCCUGUGUUAGUCAGCAUUCUCCAGGGAAACAGAACCAGUAGGAUACACAUCACAAAGUACUGGCUCACAUGAUUAUGGAGGCUGAGAAAUCAUAUGAUCUGCCAUUUGCAAGCUGGAGACCCAGGAGAUGCUAAAGCCUCUUAGGGAGAAAGAAAGAGAAGAAAAAGGAGGGGAAAGAUGGGAAAAUACAAAAAAGGCAGAGGAGUGAGAGAAUGAAAAAUAACUAUGGCGAGACUCUGUCUCAAAAAAAAAAAAAAAAAAAAAAGAAAAAUAA